rnacentral:lncRNA from 1 species
AGACUUUUCAGUAAGGAAAGGAACCUGGGGUAGAAAGCUCCCCCUUCAGCUGCCCAUGAGGGCACAGGUGGGCCCCACACUCACUACGGGGCCAGGGCAGGGCCGCACACCUGCCACUUCCUCAGCAGAGACCCUAGCGCGUGGGUCACUGCUGGCCCAGACUCCUUCCACGAGCAGGCGAGUGUGCAGGGCCACACCUCAUCCAAGAGAUGAUCACGUUUAGGUUUUUGAUGAAAAGCAUAGCUCUCAGGUAAAUACAGCAGCACCUCUAAGCAUAUUCUGGGAGGAGUGGGUUUUAUGAGGAAGGCACACAAGGAACGCCCAAAUUUGCAAGUCCCUUUAAAAUGAGCCUGCUCAGAAUUGCUGUUUAUUCCACAGGUCUGCGCAGGCAUGGCACUAAGUGUCCCAUGGCACAUUUGGCCCUCAUGGAGGCCUCAAAAGGGCAGGACCAGCACCCUCUUCUACGGAGGAAGGAACGGGCACAGCAGAAACAAGGAGAGUCAGCAAUUACCAGCCAGCCAAGGUCCUGGAAGCUGACGUAGAGCUCGUG